CAGAGCCACGGGAAUACGAAGGGGGCUAGCGUUGUUCGGAAUUACUGGGCGUAAAGCGCACGUAGGCGGACAUUUAAGUCAGGGGUGAAAUCCCGGGGCUCAACCCCGGAACUGCCUUUGAUACUGGGUGUCUAGAGUAUGGAAGAGGUGAGUGGAAUUCCGAGUGUAGAGGUGAAAUUCGUAGAUAUUCGGAGGAACACCAGUGGCGAAGGCGGCUCACUGGUCCAUUACUGACGCUGAGGUGCGAAAGCGUGGGGAGCAAACAGGAUUAGAGACCCCCGUAGUCCCUGUCUCUUAUACA
rnacentral:rRNA from 1 species